GGUCGAAUGGUGCAAUUGGUAGCACCUGCAGAUUGGUUGAACCAUUUUGUCAACUACUCGCUGCGUGACCCUUGUUCAAAUCAAGGUUCAGCCC